CCUACGGGGGGCAGCAGUGAGGAAUAUUGGUCAAUGGACGAGAGUCUGAACCAGCCAAGUAGCGUGAAGGAUGACUGCCCUAUGGGUUGUAAACUUCUUUUAUAUGGGAAUAAAAUGUUCCACGUGUGGGAUUUUGUAUGUACCAUAUGAAUAAGGAUCGGCUAACUCCGUGCCAGCAGCCGCGGUAAUACGGAGGAUCCGAGCGUUAUCCGGAUUUAUUGGGUUUAAGGGGAGCGUAGGUGGAUUGUUAAGUCAGUUGUGAAAGUUUGCGGCUCAACCGUAAAAUUGCAGUUGAAACUGGCAGUCGUGAGUACAGUAGAGGUGGGCGGAAUUCGUGGUGUAGCGGUGAAAUGCUUAGAUAUCACGAAGAACUCCGAUUGCGAAGGCAGCUCACUGGACUGCAACUGACACUGAGGCGCGAAAGCGUGGGGAGCAAACAGGAUUAGAUACCCUAGUAGUC
rnacentral:rRNA from 1 species